rnacentral:rRNA from 1 species
CCUACGGGUAGCAGCAGUGGGGAAUAUUGGACAAUGGGCGAAAGCCUGAUCCAGCCAUGCCGCGUGUGUGAAGAAGGCCUUCGGGUUGUAAAGCACUUUCAGUGGGGAAGAAAGCCUUGGGGCUAAUACCCUCGAGGAAGGACAUCACCCACAGAAGAAGCACCGGCUAACUCCGUGCCAGCAGCCGCGGUAAUACGGAGGGUGCGAGCGUUAAUCGGAAUUACUGGGCGUAAAGCGCGCGUAGGCGGUCUGAUAAGCCGGUUGUGAAAGCCCCGGGCUCAACCUGGGAACGGCAUCCGGAACUGUCAGGCUAGAGGGCAGGAGAGGAAGGUAGAAUUCCCGGUGUAGCGGUGAAAUGCGUAGAGAUCGGGAGGAAUACCAGUGGCGAAGGCGGCCUUCUGGACUGACACUGACGCUGAGGUGCGAAAGCGUGGGUAGCAAACAGGAUUAGAUACCCUAGUAGUC